rnacentral:tRNA from 3 species
UGCAAUGUAGUUUAUUAAAAAAUUCUUAUUUUACACGUAGGAGAAUCCAUUAUUGGACUUUGUAA